CAGGCAUGAGCCACUGUGUCUAGCCGAGUAUGUAACUUUCAAUUUUUUUCCUUAGUGUAAGUAAGAUCUUUGAGAUUUACCCUAGUUGUUGAGUGUAUCAAUAGCUCAUACCUUUUAAUUGCUGAGUAGUGCUCCAUGGUAUUGGUGUACAUAGCUUGUUUAAUUCUUUACCUAUUAAGAGACAUACUGGUUGUUUCCAGUUUUUGACUUAUUGAAAAAGCUGCUAUGAGCAAUCAUUUACUGUUUUUUGCAUGAAUAUAAGUUUUCAUUUCUCUGGUAUAAAUGCCCAAAAAUGCAAUGGCUGAACUGUACAUUUCAUUAAGAAGAAAUCCUGCUGAACUAUUUUCUGGUAUGUACUAUUUUAGAUUCCUACCAGCAGUGUCUGAGACAUCAGUUUCUUCAUAUGCUCAUCAGCAUUUGGUAUUGUCACUAUUUUUGUUCUAGGUGUUCUAAUAGUUGUGUAGUGAUAUCUUAUUGUGGUCUUAAUUUGCAUUUUUCUAAUGGCUACGUCAAUUAUCCUCCCCUGUGCUUAUUUCUUAUCAGUGUAACCUCCUCUGUGAAGUGUCUUUUCAUGUCUUUUGCUCAUUUUCUCAUUGGAUUUCUUAAAUUUGAGUUUUCAGACUUCUGUAUACAUUCUAGAUAUGAAGCCUUUGCCAGAUAUGUGGUCUGCAAAUGUUUUUCCUACUCUAUAGUUCAUCCUGUCUUCUUAACAGGGUCUAAUAUGAAGCAAAAGUUGUUAAUUUUCAAAAAAUAAAGAUCUUGGAGGUUUUUAAUAUCAAUAAUGUAGAACUACGUCACUCUUCUAAAUUAUUGCCUUGUAUUCAGUUGUAUGGAUGCAUAACAUUUAAUCAGUUCAUAAAUAAAGGGCUGAUUUAUUCUAAGUACUUUAUUUGUAUUUAAUAACUUACAAUUAAAAACAAUGCUGCAAUGACUAUCUGUGGAUAUUCAACUUUGUAUAUGUGUGCAAAUAUGUCCUUAGGAUAAAUUCCUGAAAGUGGUAUUGACUGGGUCAAACUGUGAGAGGAGAGAGAAAGAAAUCAACUAGAGAGAAAGAAAUCAACUAGGCAGAUAGUUAGGGCAAGAGUCCUCCCCAGAAUUCCCUUAUAACAAAAAGCAGCCUAAGAGGCCAUUUCUCUUUUAGGAAAGAGCAGCCUGAGUGAUCAAGCUGCAAACACAGAUAAGGAAGGCAAGUUCUAACACAGAACGGGGCCUCCUGUGUGACACACAUACAGUGGGCCCCAGUGAGCACAGUCCUUUCCCUUCUUGGAAAUACUCAGACAAGGAGGCUUGCACAGGGGGAGUGCCUGCAGCAGCACGGAUAAGAAGAGCUACCCUGGAUCAGGCACUUCCAAGUUGGAGGAUUCUGUCCCCUGCCUUCUUUACACAUGCUCAGUAGGAAGAGAUAAGCAACAGGGCAUUAACUCAGUGUAAGGAGCCCCCAGGUGCGCUAGAAAGGGAGGGGUGGGGACUGUCAGAAAUUCGGCACCUUAUGUAAAUAAAGCACCCCUCCCCACCAGCUUGUCUUCGUUUCACUGUGAAACGGCAACUCAUCUUUCUGGGACCCCUUUCUUCUUCUCCAGAGAACUUUCUUCCUUUCGCUUAUUAAACUUCUGCUCUAACCUCACCUUUGGAGUGUCCACAUCCUUGAUUUCCUCCUCUGUGAGACCAAGAACCAUGAGGGACACCUCAGACAACAAGGCUGGCUUCAAAAUGGUGUACCUAUUUUAGUUAGUCAUCAACUACAUCGCAACAGUUUACAUCUGCACUAGCAGGACAGGAGAAUGCCUCUUACUACAUUCUCAUUAGCAUUAUAUGUUAGGACAUUUAAAAAACAAACAACUUUGAAACCUGAGAGGUUAAAAAAAAUCUCAAGGUUUUCAAUCUUAUUUCUUUGAUUAUGAGUAAAGCAUAGAUUCAUAUGUAAGCCCCUCCUUCCACUGGUCAUGUAUUAUUUGUUCCUGUCAUUUGACUAUUGUUUUUAUUGACUCAUUGAUCAUUUUCUUACUGACAUUCUAAGAGCUUUCAAUGCUCUGCACCCUGGUUCAGCCCAUAGGUACCCGGCAGCCAAGCAUCAUCUUCACCUAAUACCACGGUGGUGGCCUGCAGGCUGGAAGUGGCCGGGCACUGCCUGCUCCUCGGCCUGCUUUUCCUUCUGCUGACCAUGGGCCCUGCCCUGAGCUGGAACAACCCUGUGGGAACAUUCACUGGAGUUCCACCGUAACAGCUCAGUUUUCACAUCUUCCUCCAAAGAAGGGGAAAUGCCACAAAGAGCUAAGAAGAAGUUACUACCAGUGUGAUGAGAAAGCCAUGAAGCACUGAAAUAUGGAAUAAGAAAAGGAGGGCCCAGCAGUCCAAAUUCAAGUCCAACCCAGCCCUGGGUCAACAACCUGCCAUCAAGGGCCCUGCCUAAAAGAUGGGACCAGGUUAGCCAGUAAGAGAAACGCCCAGCCUGGGGAAGUGGAAGGCAGUUUCUCCAGAAAAUAAACCACAGCAAUCAUGAAAUUAGAACUUUGGUAAAACAUGUUGCAGAAGAACCAGGAAACACAUUGCAAUUGAGCCUGCUGGGUGCUGCUGCAAGUUUGGGGGCGAUCAGCAGAAUCAAGUUCUUAUAGGGAUGAAGUCUGCAAAGCAGGAUGUUUCCCUAAUUUGAUUGCAAUGACUGAGGUGGAAAAUGGUCAUCCUAAGAAGCACAGCAACUAUUUCAAAACGCCAGAGGACCCUUUAAUGCUCUGCAAACAUGGUGAUCGGGUUACCUUUCAAUAAAGAUGAUCGGCCUCCACUCACCUACUGUACAACUAAAAUCACUGGACAUUUUACAGAAAAUAAACAUAAGACUGAAAGGUGGAAACCUGAGGAACAACAUGCUGGUAAGUUCUCUGAGUUUAUUUUUGCCUAAUAUAUUCCAAACUAUUGGAGCUGAAGAAGCUAGUAACCAGAAAUGCCAAUGGGGACAGACAAAAAGCCCCAACAAAAUCCUGCCUUUUCUUUAGCCAAAAGACAAAGAAAGGAGGAGCCUCACAAAGCAGAAAAUGCUUAGAAAAUAAACACUCUAGUUAAAAAACAUCAAAAAAACUAUGGCCCAACUCUUACCAAUGCCAGCAAAGACUGAAUGGGGACCUAAAAUGUCUACCCUUACCAGGAUAUAAUAAAGCCUCUCUCUCAACUCCUGCAAUGCUGGUGGAAACCACAUGGGCAACAUGAACUUCUCUUCUCACCAGGUAGUAACAAGCAGCCAAUCCUCUUCUGCCCUAGAUUUGUAUAGAGGAGGCCUAGUGAAAAGUCAGGGCUAUCACCAUCACCCCUAUCCCUUUCAGACAAGAAAGUAUCAGUAAAAGCCUAGUGGGAACCCAGAACUCUCAUCUGUGCCCAACAGUCACAAGGGACAUCCUUCUUCAGAUGUCAAUGGAUGCAGAGUAGAAAAUUUAAUUUCUACCUGUACCUGGCAGUAAUAAGGUGGCAGCCCUGAUUUCUCUUGCCAGAAUAGCAUUAGAGUAAGAUAGCUAAAAUAAAGGUUUAAAUAAGAUCUAGAGAUCCAGAGUUUUGUAAUAUACUACCUAAAAUAUCCAGGUUUCAAUUUUAAAAAUCACUUGGCAAACCAAGAUCUCAAGUGGAAUGCAAAAAGAUGAUCAAUACUUGCAAACACCAAAAUGACAGAGAUGUUCAGAAUUAUCUGACACAUUUUAAAGCAGCUAUAAAACAAAUGCUUCAAUGAGUAAUCAAAAACAUAAUUUAAAAAAUGAAAAAAUGUAUCAGCAAAAG